CGCCUGUUUAUCAAAAACAUAACAACAUGUAUUUAAUAUGUUGCUGCUUCUGCUCAAUGAUAUGUUAAAUAGCCGCAGUACCCUGACUGUGCAAAGGUAGCAUAAUCAAUUGGCUCAUAAUUGGAGUCUUGUAUGAAUGAAUAUUUGGUUAGUAGCUGUCUUAAUUAAUAUUAACAAAUUUAUUUAAUAAGUGAAAAUACUUAUAAAUAAAUAAAAGACGAGAAGACCCUAGAAAUUUUAAUAAUAUAGGACUCAUUUAUUUAUUUUUGUUGGGGCGACAGAAUAACAUUAAACUUAUUUUACAUUAUAAGCAUUUUAUUUAAUGAAAAUACAAAUUACUUUAGGGAUAACAGCAUAAUUUCUAUUAGUUUGUGACCUCGAUGUUGGAUUAGGAAGCUUAUUGUUUAAAAGGUAAUAAGUUAUGUUCUGUUCGAACAGUAUAUCCUACGUGAUCUGAGUUCAGACCGG
rnacentral:rRNA from 1 species